rnacentral:rRNA from 1 species
UACGGAAGGCAGCAGUGGGGAAUAUUGCACAAUGGGCGCAAGCCUGAUGCAGCCAUGCCGCGUGUAUGAAGAAGGCCUUCGGGUUGUAAAGUACUUUCAGUCGUGAGGAAGGUGUUAAGGUUAAUAACCUUAGCAAUUGACGUUAGCGACAGAAGAAGCACCGGCUAACUCCGUGCCAGCAGCCGCGGUAAUACGGAGGGUGCGAGCGUUAAUCGGAAUUACUGGGCGUAAAGGGCACGCAGGCGGUUAAUUAAGUUGGAUGUGAAAUCCCCGGGCUUAACCUGGGAAUGGCAUUCAAGACUGGUUAGCUAGAGUCUUGUAGAGGGGGUAGAAUUCCAUGUGUAGCGGUGAAAUGCGUAGAGAUGUGGAGGAAUACCGGUGGCGAAGGCGGCCCCUGGGACAAAGGACUGACGCUCGAUGUGCGAAAGCGUGGGGAGCAAACAGGGAUUAGAUACC